rnacentral:rRNA from 1 species
AUUGAACGCUGGCGGCAGGCCUAACACAUGCAAGUCGAACGAGUGGCGGACGGGUGAGUAAUGUCUGUGAAACUGCCUGAUGGCGGGGGAUAACUACUGGAAACGGUAGCUAAUACCGCAUACCAUCGGAUGUGCCCAGAUGGGAUUAGCUAGUACGUGGGGUAAAGGCUCACCAAGGCGACGAUCCCUAGCUGGUCUGAGAGGAUGACCGGCCACACUGGAACUGAGACACGGUCAAGACGCCUACGGGAGGCAGCAGUGGGGAAUAUUGCACAAUGGGCGCAAGCCUGAUGCAGCCAUGCCGCGUGUAUGAAGAAGGCCUUCGGGUUGGAAAGUACUUUCAGCAGGGAGGCGUUACCCGCAGAAGAAGCAACGGCUAACUCCGUGCCAGCAGCCGCGGUAAUUC